rnacentral:rRNA from 1 species
GAUGAACGCUGGCGGCGUGCCUAAUACAUGCAAGUCGAGCGAACAGACGAGGAGCUUGCUCCUCUGACGUUAGCGGCGGACGGGUGAGUAACACGUGGAUAACCUACCUAUAAGACUGGGAUAACUUCGGGAACCGGAGCUAAUACCGGAUAAUAUAUUGAACCGCAUGGUUCAAUAGUGAAAGACGGUUUUGCUGUCACUUAUAGAUGGAUCCGCGCCGCAUUAGCUAGUUGGUAAGGUAACGGCUUACCAAGGCAACGAUGCGUAGCCGACCUGAGAGGGUGAUCGGCCACACUGGAACUGAGACACGGUCCAGACUCCUACGGGAGGCAGCAGUAGGGAAUCUUCCGCAAUGGGCGAAAGCCUGACGGAGCAACGCCGCGUGAGUGAUGAAGGUCUUCGGAUCGUAAAACUCUGUUAUUAGGGAAGAACAAAUGUGUAAGUAACUAUGCACGUCUUGACGGUACCUAAUCAGAAAGCCACGGCUAACUACGUG